rnacentral:tRNA from 1 species
UCCCUGGUGGUCCAGUGGUUAGGAUUCUGCACUCUCACUGCAGAGGGCCCAGGUUCAACCCCUGCUUGGGGUU